rnacentral:rRNA from 1 species
GACGAACGCUGGCGGCGUGCCUAAUACAUGCAAGUAGAACGCUGAAGAGGGGAGCUUGCUCUUCUUGGAUGAGUUGCGAACGGGUGAGUAACGCGUAGGUAACCUGCCUUGUAGCGGGGGAUAACUAUUGGAAACGAUAGCUAAUACCGCAUAACAAUGGAUGACACAUGUCAUUUAUUUGAAAGGGGCAAUUGCUCCACUACAAGAUGGACCUGCGUUGUAUUAGCUAGUAGGUGAGGUAACGGCUCACCUAGGCGACGAUACAUAGCCGACCUGAGAGGGUGAUCGGCCACACUGGGACUGAGACACGGCCCAGACUCCUACGGGAGGCAGCAGUAGGGAAUCUUCGGCAAUGGGGGCAACCCUGACCGAGCAACGCCGCGUGAGUGAAGAAGGUUUUCGGAUCGUAAAGCUCUGUUGUAAGUCAAGAACGAGUGUGAGAGUGGAAAGUUCACACUGUGACGGUAGCUUACCAGAAAGGGACGGCUAACUACGUG